rnacentral:tRNA from 1 species
GCGGAUGUGGCGAAAUUGGUAGACGCACCAGACUUAGGAUCUGGCGCCGCAAGGCGUGGGGGUUCGAGUCCCUCCAUCCGCA